rnacentral:rRNA from 1 species
AGAGUUUGAUCCUGGCUCAGAUUGAACGCUGGCGGCAGGCCUAACACAUGCAAGUCGAACGGUAACAGGAGAAAGCUUGCUUUCUUGCUGACGAGUGGCGGACGGGUGAGUAAUGCUUGGGAAUCUGGCUUAUGGAGGGGGAUAACUACGGGAAACUGUAGCUAAUACCGCGUAAUAUCUUCGGAUUAAAGGGUGGGACUUUCGGGCCACCUGCCAUAAGAUGAGCCCAAGUGGGAUUAGGUAGUUGGUGGGGUAAAGGCCUACCAAGCCGACGAUCUCUAGCUGGUCUGAGAGGAUGACCAGCCACACUGGAACUGAGACACGGUCCAGACUCCUACGGGAGGCAGCAGUGGGGAAUAUUGCACAAUGGGGGGAACCCUGAUGCAGCCAUGCCGCGUGAAUGAAGAAGGCCUUCGGGUUGUAAAGUUCUUUCGGUGAUGAGGAAGGUGUUUGUUUUAAUAGAACAAGCAAUUGACGUUAGUCACAGAAGAAGCACCGGCUAACUCCGUGCCAGCAGCCGCGGUAAUACGGAGGGUGCGAGCGUUAAUCGGAAUGACUGGGCGUAAAGGGCACGCAGGCGGUGACUUAAGUGAGAUGUGAAAGCCCCGGGCUUAACCUGGGAAUUGCAUUUCAUACUGGGUCGCUAGAGUAUUUUAGGGAGGGGUAGAAUUCCACGUGUAGCGGUGAAAUGCGUAGAGAUGUGGAGGAAUACCGAAGGCGAAGGCAGCCCCUUGGGAAUAUACUGACGCUCAUGUGCGAAAGCGUGGGGAGCAAACAGGAUUAGAUACCCUGGUAGUCCACGCUGUAAACGCUGUCGAUUUGGGGAUUGGGCUUUAAGCUUGGUGCCCGUAGCU